rnacentral:lncRNA from 1 species
AGAGUCCAGCAAGGAGGGCUGGGAUUCACACUGAGCACGUGUGUCUGCCCAGGCUUGGGCUGUUUUCUGGGAUGGACUACCUGAAAUUCAUCACGAAUAUUGACCAUAAUUCAAGGCUAACAACAAAGUAGCUUUGGAAACAUAUGAACUCAAAAUUAUACACUAUUUAAAUCUUAAAAAAGACUCAGAUACCCUGACUCUGAAGAUUUCUGCACCUAGAUAAGUAGGAAUGAAAAGAAACAGGGCUGGACAAACAAACCAGAAAGUAAGUAUGUGCCUUGGGCAAAUUGUGAACUUGAAGGAGUUGAGGUCCAAAAGAAGUAUAGAUGUGGACCUAGGCCUAUUCCUAACUCAUGAGGAGGCCUGGGCCAAAACAAGAAGUGAUGUGGGCCUGGGCCUAUCCCCAACCCUUGAAGAGGC